UAUCUUCAAUUAAAAUUUAUUAAAAAUUAUAAAAUCAAAAAUAAAACUCAUCAAACAAAAUGUGAGACUCAUUAAUUUUUAAUAAAUUUUAAUUAACUGUGUAAGGUGUGCGUUCAAUUAAAUUUUAGAAAAUAUUAUGUUGUUAGCAUUUCUCUUUAUCUUAAUCAAUUAAAUAUAAUUUAUUUCAUUUCAUUUAUAUA
rnacentral:lncRNA from 1 species